rnacentral:tRNA from 1 species
GCCUGGGUGGCCCAGUUGGUUGAGCAUCCGACUUUAGCUCGGGUCAUGAUCUCAUGGUUUGUGAGUUCAAGCCCCACAUCGGGCU